GUCGUUUUUUACUCUAUCUAUCUCUCACAUUACAUAUUAUCCAUAUUCAUCUUAUCAGAAGCAGAAAGAAGAAAAAUCAAAAGUGGCAAUGGCAGCAGCAACAGCAGCUAUGGCUGCUCUUCAGAGCUCAAUGACCUCUCUCUCUCUAUCUUCCAACCCUUUCUUCGGACAAUCUCUCUCUCCUAUCACUCUCUCUCCUCUCUUGGUACACUACACUCUCUUCUCUACACCAAUUUCCUUUAUUUCAAUUCAAGUUUCAAUUUUGAUCAUUCUAUUCGCUUCCUUUAUCCCUGUAUUCUAAUGGGUCCUUGCAAUAUUUCCUUAGGUCCAUUUAGAAUCCAAGUUCAUGACCUCAUGGCUAUUAGCAUUUUAAUUGUAAAUUGGUGACUUGAAAUUUAUUUAAGUUUAUUUGAAAAUAUGUGGCUUCUUUUUCUUACUACACAGUCCUCAUUGAUGUUUUGAAUAUUAUGUCAUGUUCAAAUGUAUUUGUUUUAUUUGUCAUGUAAGUGUAUUUGUUUUACUACACAGUCCAAAUGGAGAGGUUGAUUACAGGAUUUGAAAGCUUGACUUUAUGGUCACUAAACACUUAUUGGGAAAAAUAAAAGGUUGAUUGGUAUAAUGAGAAAUAAUAUUGUAUAAUGUUCUGAUUUAAGUUAUUUGGUAUGGAUAAGGCUAUAAGAAAGAAUUGUGUUGUUUAUUGUUUGUAUCUGUUGCAAUUUGAUAUCACCAAAUGAAUUGUGAUUAGGCUUGUUUAUCUAUAAUAAGCCUUCUGCUAUAUUAUAUGAUGGAAAAUCUAAUGAUUCUUACUAUACUGUGUUCAUUUUUUCUGGUGCCUAUCUGCUUAGGUACUUUUCAAGCUAGCAUUUUGCUUAUUGAACUUUUCAGUUGAAGUUGUUUGCCAUAUCGUACUAAAGAAACAUAUUUUAAUGGCGUGUAAUGAAACUUUAAAGUCGUAUUAUUUGAGCGAUUUGGAGCCGUUCCUUAAAUUCUUAUUAUCUCAUUUGUCCAUUAUAUUAGCUUCCACAAACAUUGACAUUGCAGAAAAUAUUUGCUUGACAUUUUAUUUCCAUUGAUGAGUAUGAUAAAUUCAUGCUGUUUUUCUUGUCCUUUUUUAUUCUAUUUCUUAUCACCAUGUCUCCAAGAGAUGAAAUGUCUUGAUUUAAAAAAAUAUAAAGCCCACAAAUUUCUAGUUUCUCUUAAUUUCAUUUUGCUCAUCAUUUUGUUGCAACUUUCAAGAAUGCCCAGCAUUUCCUUAAAAAAUAGUAACUACAUUACGGAUAAAAAUUUCACUGGUGUAGCAACUGCAUUUUCCGAUAUCAUCGUGGACAUCAAUGCCCUAUUGUAAUGAAGGUUAAUUUGAUGUAGAUCCUAUAAGUUUAGCAGGCUAAUUUGAUAUUAUUUUAUGUUAUGAUGUGCAGAGUAAGUCCGUAGAGAAGCAAUGCCCUAUCGUAAUGAAGGUUAGUAUCCGUUUCAGCAACUAUUAUGAUUAUCAGUUUCAGGUUUAGUCAAAUUGAAAAUCAAAGUGGACAAAAAUUAGGGAUAGUAACAUGAGAACUUAAAAACACUCUAAUUUGAUUAGAAAUAUUUU
rnacentral:lncRNA from 1 species